rnacentral:rRNA from 1 species
UACAGAGGUGGCAAGCGUUGUUCGGAAUUACUGGGCGUAAAGGGCGCGUAGGCGGUUCGUUAAGUCCUGUGUGAAAUCCCCCGGCUCAACUGGGGAACUGCACAGGAAACUAGCGGGCUUGAGUUCGGGAGAGGGAAGCGGAAUUCCGGGUGUAGCGGUGAAAUGCGUAGAUAUCCGGAGGGACACCGGUGGCGAAGGCGGCUUCCUGGACCGACACUGACGCUGAGGCGCGAAAGCCAGGGGAGCAAACGGG